UUCCCUACUUCGUCUUCCAUCGACAAAUCCUCCAUCGAGCAUCAUUCAAACGGCCCCUUAGAUUUCCAUCGACAAAUCCUCCAUUGAGCGUCAUUCAAAUGACCCCUUAGAUUUCCUCUCUCUCUCUCUCUCUCUCUCUCUCUCUCUCUCUCUCUGACAUCACUGGAGCAAUCAUCCCUGGCUGCCCUGAGUCCUUCCACCAAUCAGAGCAAUGUGAAGGAGGGCAGGGCCAGCGCCAGAGAUAGAGAUCAACAUCAAAAGAUCUAGCACUUACGACAGGGUGACAUCAUCGCUAUCCCUGCUAGUGUGGCCCACUGGACCUACAACGAUGGGGAGACCACGGUCGUCUUUGAUAAGAAUGAUGUUGUUGGGCAGAUGGUAUCAUCUUCCCAACAAACACUGAUGAAGCUAUGCACCUAAAAAAUAUAGCAGCUCGUUAUUCAUCAUUGGUAUGGUGGUUGAUUAUUUUGUAUUUGCUUUAGAUAAUAUUGAUUAUGAUUCUCAGGAAAUUUGUUUCUAUGGAGUUAAGAGAUAUGUUGUUAUUUCUGACAAUGCAUUGGAGAUGUUCUCAUGUCCCACUUACAGGUGAUUUGUGAUGCAUCUCCACAUCAACCUUAGAUCUGAUUCUCAUAAAGUGGAGUUAGGUUCCACUUCUGGGGAAUUCAAUCUACGGUCUCCCUGUUUUGAAUCUAUGGUUUUUACUUGAUUCUGA